GGAGAGGAGAGGAGAGGAGAGGAGAGGAGAGGAGAGAAAGCGAUCUGCUGCUCGUAGCUCCGCCUCUGGAAGUCCUAAAACCCUCUCCUAAUUUCCUUUUAUCACUGAAAUUUUUGUUACUAAAAUUCAUCCAUACUCAAUAGGCUACAUACUGUAUUCAUAUUGUAGUUUUCGUUCUGUUGAUUUUUUAAUUGGGACUUAUCACCAUAUAAAUUUUAUUUCUAAUGAUAUGGGAAGUAGAUAAAAUUCUCUGUAGAGGUCACAAUAGAUUGUAUGGAAUUGUACCCUUCUUAUAACACAAUCUUGUUAAUCAUUAAAUCACUAAUAAAAAUGUUUUUUAAAAAAGUCACAAUAGGUAGGACAAGUAUAUUUUGAGUAUUUGGUUGAUGUCUUCUUUUUGAUAAAGCAAAGUGAAAAAUAGCUAAGACUUAAAACUAAGUGUGUAUGCAAAUGCCCUCCAAAACUAGAAAACAAAUCUGUGUUAAGUCUCUCAAAAAGCAGUUUCUUGGGGUCCUGCGGUGGCGCAUGGGUUAAGCGCAUGUGGCGCAAAGCGCUGGGACCGGCGUAAGGAUCCCGGUUCGAGCCCCCGGCUCCCCACCUGCAGGGGAGUCGCUUCACAGGCGGUGAAGCUUGUCUGCAGGUGUCUAUCUUUCUCUCCCCUUCUCUGUCUUUCGCUCCUCUCUCCAUUUCUCUUUGUCCUAUCCAACAACGAAUUGCAUCAACAAGGGCAAUAAUAAUGACCACAACGAAGCUACAACAAGGGCAACAAAAGGGGGAAAAAAAUGGCCUCCAGGAGCGGUGGAUUCAUGGUGCAGGCACCGAGCUCAGCAAUAACCCUGGAGAAGGAAAAAGAAAAGAAAAAAAAAAAAAGAAUUCACCAUCUCAAUACUGAAAAACUUUAGCAGGCAGAAAGAAUUAAUUUUCUCACUUUUUAAUUGCAAAUACUAUGAAAUGGGAAAACAUCAACUUUACAUGGAAACUCGUCCUUUGUGUCUGAUUAGAUUUAAAGUAUGCUUUUAUUUUGAUUGCUAAAUUCUGAAGAAUGUGGCAACCCAGCAGCCAGGGAGUUAGCACAAUGUUCUAGAGCAACAGACACACAAGCAUGAGGUCCUGUGCUUGAUCCCUCACACCAACACGCCAGUGUGAUGUUCUGAUUCUUUCUCUUAUUAAUAAGUCAAUCUUUCUACCCUUUCCUCUUCCCUCCUGUUCUCUUCGUUUCUUCCUUUCCAGAGCACUGCUCAACUCUGGUUUAUGGUGUUGCUAGGAACUUGGCACCUUUGCUGUCCCAGACAUGAAAAUAGUUUUAUAUGACCAUUAUGCUAUCUCCCUAGUGCCCCUUCUGCCUCAGAAUAUGGGAACCUAGAAUUUUCAGUUCUGCAGAGUAAGAAGGUGCUCACAGAGCAUAUUAUGAGUACAGCAACCCAUCUCUGCUUUUCUUAUUUUGCUAAAAAGGGUGCUUUCACCUUGUCCAACCAUUAAUAGAUAAAUAUUAAAAUUCCACAAAACACAGGACUUCAUUUAUUUGUGAAAGUCUUACUUUGAAAUGUAGUAACCCUUACGUGCAUUAUAACAGAAUUUGCGAUUUAUGAAUUCAGUCUAUCAUAUCUUUUAAUACAACUGGUAUUGACACUAUAAGAUUAUUUGAAAAAUAAAGUCUCAUUUGU